rnacentral:Y_RNA from 1 species
GGCUGGUCCAAUGGUAGUGGGUUAUCAGAACUUAUUAACAUUAGUGUCACUAAAGUUGGUAUACAACCCCCCACUGCUAAAUUUGACUGGUUUUAA